rnacentral:rRNA from 1 species
UGCCAGCCGCCGCGGUAAUACAGAGGGUGCAAACGUUGUUCGGAAUCACUGGGCAUAAAGCGCACGUAGGCGGCCCUGUAAGUGUGGAGUGAAAGCCCACGGCUCAACCGUGGAAUUGCUUCGCAUACUGCAGGUGCCAGAGGACGGUAGGGGAGAGCGGAACUCCUGGUGGAGCGGUGAAAUGCGUAGAUAUCAGGAGGAACACCAGUGGCGAAGGCGGCUCUCUGGUCCGUUUCUGACGCUGAGGUGCGAAAGCCAGGGUAGCGAACGGGAUUAGAUA